ACCUCCUACAACAUUUUUCAAAAACAAAUUAAAUUUUCCCUUAAAAAAAGAAGCCAAUGUAUGCAAGCUGCUAUCCUCCCAAAGUGAUGCACUUUGCAGUCAAUCAUUAACUUUUUCCAUUAUAAAAGGGCUGAUUUCAGAUAAGAAGUGCAUAUGUUAACUUUCAGAAAUCUUGGCGUCUACAGGAAAUAAAAGUAUUAGUGUUUUGAAGCAUUUUAUUUCAGAGGGGAAUUGCAAUAAAAAAUUCAUUUGUCAUUCACUUAAGAAUAAUAAUAAUAAAUAUUGAAUAAGUGCCUAGAAAGAGUAUUUACAACACAUGGUGUAUUAGAGACAGCUGUAUUGUCUGCUGCCUGUUCCAUGUUCAACUUAGAGCUGUGUUCAACAGUGCACUGUUAUCCACUUUCAAAAUCCUUAAAUCAGCAUAGUACACAUCAUUUACAAAGAAGAGCUCACAUUUAUAUGGUGAAUUAUACUUUUCAAACAUUCUCAUGCACUUUCUAGACUUUCAAUGCCACCACGACUAUCAGGAGGCUAGGCUACUGGCAAUAGCUCUGUCUUAGAAAGCCAACGUGGGCUUAGAAAUGGAAGCAACUUGCUUUAGAUCACGCAGCUAAUGAUGAAACUGGAAUUACAGCCCUGGGGCUUAAAAUUCUGUUAUGCCACAUUGCAAAAUCACAUUUACAGCAGAGAACACUUUACACUUUAAACGCAGAGCAUGUAAAAUGAUUACUAUGCGAAUGAGUAUUACACAACAAACAAACUCAAAUAUGACUGCCUGCAUCAGCAACAACAGUCAGUUCCCUUGUGUAGAUACAAUUCAUCCAUUUCUCCGAAUAGACAUGGCAACGGAAGAUCAGACUGUGCUGCCAAGGUCUUAAGAUCUUCCUAUCAAUGUCCCCUUCCUCCAAUGCUGGUUGUAUUGCCAUCCUUAGCAGUGAGCGUUUUCUCCCCCUUUGAAAUGCCAGUCCUUUUCCAAGCUGCUCCCCUCCUUGAUCCUACUGCUUACUACUUCCUCUGCUCUGGUUCACCCCAGGCUCCACCCUCCCCUCUUUUUAGUGUCUUCUACCACCUCUGCCUGGUGCUCAAAGAAUCUCUAGUGUUGGUGGGAGGUGCAGUGAACUUGUACAUGUCCUUGGGCACCAGUGGGUGGCGCCAUAAUUCUGUGUGCAGGAUCUCCAUUCACAUAGCAGUCCUACUGCUCUGGGUACACUUUCCUCUCUCUUCCUUGUCACUUUUGUGUGUCAGCCACAGGCUCCUUCUCAUCUUCCUCUAUGCACUCAAGAGUAUCUUGUAGGCACUGGACUAUCCCAGAACUCUCCUGUCUACUUCCACUCUUGGCUGUGAGCUCCUUGCAAGCAGGGUCCCGAUCCAACUUGGACGGAAUUUCCAGAGCUUAGCACUGUGCCUUGCCACCCCCUGAGAGCUGGGACACGUGUGCUCAAAGAAUGAGUCAGUGACAGCAUGAAGGACAACACCCAACCACGGCCCGAAUGUGACCACAGGAGGGACUGGAUUGAGAAAGGGGCUCUUUGGUCUGUGGUCCUCCUGAGCAUUGCUGAAUGCUAAGGUUUCACUGUGGGAGGUAAAGAGCUUCAAGAAUCUGACUGUAGGUGAGGGCAGCCAUGGCUGCUUUUGUCUGCUUCCCACCUGGGGGCUGGAAGUGUGUGUGUGUGUGUGUGUGUGAUGAGGAUUAAACUGUGUUCAACCAUGCAUGCUAGGAAAGCACUCUAUCGCUUGAGUCAUGCCUCCAGACUUUUUAUUUCUAUUUUGUUUUUAAGAUAGCCACCCCCCAACUCAAGAUCCAACUGCCAAGGCCUCUUGAGUAACCGAGAUGAUAGGUACGUACCACCAUGCCCCACCAAAAUUUUA